AAAUGAAUAGACGGGGGCCCGCACAAGCGGUGGAGCAUGUGGUUUAAUUCGAUGGUACGCGAGAAACCUUACCAGGGCUUGACAUAUCCAGCGAUGGGGCCGCGAGGUCCCAGCCCUUCGGGGGCUGGAUACAGGUGCUGCAUGGCUGUCGUCAGCUCGUGCUGUGAAGUGUUGGGUUAAGUCCCGCAACGAGCGCAACCCCUGCCAUCUGUUACUAACAGGCAAUGCUGAGGACUCAGAUGGAACUGCCAGUGACAAACUGGAGGAAGGUGGGGACGACGUCAAGUCAUCAUGGCCCUUAUGUCCUGGGCCACACACGUGCUACAAUGGCCGGUACAGAGCGCAGCGAGGCCGCGAGGUCAAGCGAAUCGCAAAAAGCCGGUCUCAGUACGGACUGGAGUCUGCAACUCGACUCCACGAAGUUGGAAUCGCUAGUAAUCACGCAUCAGCAUGGCGUGGUGAAUACGUUCCCGGGCCUUGUACACACCGCCCGU
rnacentral:rRNA from 1 species